UCGGGAAUUUUGGGCAAUGGGGGAAACCCUGACCCAGCAACGCCACGUGAAGGAUGAAGUAUUUCGGUAUGUAAACUUCGAAAGAAUAGGUAGAAUAAAUGACGGUACUAUUUAUAAGGUCCGGCUAACUACGUGCCAGCAGCCGCGGUAAUACGUAGGGACCAAGCGUUGUUCGGAUUUACUGGGCGUAAAGGGCGCGUAGGCGGCAUGACAAGUCACUUGUGAAAUCUCUGGGCUUAACCCAGAACGGCCAAGUGAUACUGUCGCGCUAGAGUGCAGAAGGGGCAAUCGGAAUUCUUGGUGUAGCGGUGAAAUGCGUAGAUAUCAAGAGGAACACCUGAGGUGAAGACGGGUUGCUGGGCUGACACUGACGCUGAGGCGCGAAAGCCAGGGGAGCAAACGGGAUUAGAUACCCCGGUAGUCCCUGAGCGGGCUGGCAAGGCGCAU
rnacentral:rRNA from 1 species